GCCGGGCAUGGUGGCACAUGCCUGUAGUCCCAGCUACUUAGGAGGCUGAGGUGGGAGGAUCACCUGAGCCCAGGGGGUCGAGACUGCAGUAAGCUGUGACUGCACCACUGCACUCUAGCUUGGGUGACAGAGUGAGACCCUGUCUCUA
rfam:Homo sapiens chromosome 17, GRCh38 reference primary assembly.